CUGACCGAUCAUGAAGCCCAAUCUCACUUCCUCGGCCCAACUCUCGCUCUCCCCACUUAACAGGGAGAAAUUGGUGCGUCCCCACAGUGGCUCUGAAGUGAGUGAAAUACGAUAAAUUUCCUUGACUGAGGAAAAGGCAGGGUCAAAGAAUUGAUUCCAAGAUGAUUAAGAAUAAUGUUACUGACCAUAAACUAAAUGUGGAAGCCAUAAUUAAAAACAUUAACACAAUUUCUUUGGAGCUAAAGAAAAUGAAUGAACUCUCCCAGUUACUGCUUUGUGACCUGACCCUACAUUUUAGUCAUCCUGUGAAGACAGAUGACUUAAAGGAAACAGAAAGAAACAGCCCCCACUUUGAAGAGUCUAAAAUGCCAGAUUUAUCCCUUGCUUCUGAUAGUUUUUAAUCUGAUUUUUUAUUUAUAUGUUGUAAAUUUGUGACUUUUUAUUGUUGAAUUAACUCAUUUCUAGGAGAAUUGAGUUUAC
rnacentral:lncRNA from 1 species